CUACGGGGUGCUACAGUGGGGAAUAUUGCGCAAUGGGCGAAAGCCUGACGCAGCAACGCCGUGUGAGCGAUGAAGGCCCUCGGGUCGUAAAGCUCUGUCAAAUGGGAAGAAUAAAGACGGUACCAUUAGAGGAAGCCCCGGCUAACUUCGUGCCAGCAGCCGCGGUAAUACGAAGGGGGCGAGCGUUGUUCGGAAUUAUUGGGCGUAAAGCGUAUGUAGGCGGUCAAAUAAGUCAGACGUGUAAGCCCACGGCUCAACCGUGGAAUUGCGUUUGAAACUAUUUGACUUGAGUGCAGGAGAGGAAAGCGGAAUUCCCAGUGUAGCGGUGAAAUGCAUUGAUAUUGGGAAGAACACCGGUGGCGAAGGCGGCUUUCUGGUCUGUUACUGACGCUGAGAUACGAAAGCCAGGGGAGCGAACGGGAUUAGAUACCCUCGUAGUC
rnacentral:rRNA from 1 species